CAUAUUUGAAUUAAAAUAUUAAUAGAGAGCAUGCCCACAAAAUAAGCAGAGAGAUGUGUAUAGAUGAAUUUAAUAUGAAAUAUGUCAGUAUGAAAAUAUGUCUUAUGCAUGCAAUUGUCCCAUACAAUAGGAACACUUCAUAAGAAUUGUUAAAAGUACACUUCUUUGUAAGUAAAUAUAUGUAUAUGAUAGAAAAGGUUGAAAACUUUAGUUUUUGGGAGAUGUUUAUAUCUUGUUACGGAUUCAGUCUAUUAUCUUAAAUGGAAUAAUUAUUGAAUCUCUGAAACACUCUUAUGUAGAGCAUGGGAACAAAAUAAGCAGAGUAUGGAUUUGUAUAAAUGAAUUCAAUAUGAAAUAAUUGUUCAUGUGAAAAUAUGUCUUAUUAAUGCAAUGAACAUUUGCUGUAGAUAAACUUGAUUUGAAGUGGUAAAAGUACAUUUCUUUGUUGUGGGGGUGGAAGUCACUGUCCUGACUAUUCCAGAUCCUUCCCAUUCAUACAAAUAAUAUAUAAUAUAACAUACCUGAAUGACAGUAUUAAUGUAGAACAUAGUUGCAUUAAAAGCAGAGAUAAAUUUGAUAUGAAAUAUUUUUGUGUGAAAAUGUCAUAUUCGUGUAGUUGACACUUUUCGACACUUUCUAUAGUCACACUUUAUAAGAAGUGGUAAAAGUAUACUUCUGUAUAAUGUAUAUAUGUUUAUAUAGUGUUUAGAGUGAAGAAAGAACAUAAAAUGUUAAUAAUUGAAAUUGAUACUUUGUAGGGGAUGGGAUCAUUGCCAGUCUGUUCCAGUUCCUUCCGAUUCAUGCCUAUCCUAAGCCAAUCUGACCCAUUCCAUCCCAUUUCUGAUGGUAACUUGUGUAUGAUAGUACAAAUAAUAUAUAAUAUAGGAUAUUAGAAUUAAAAUAUUAAUGUUGAGCAUGGCCCAAAUAAAGGAAGAGAAAAUAUGUGUAUAAAUAGAAUAAUUAUGAAUAUGUUUUAUUCGUGCAAUUGACACUUACUAUGGUAACACUUAUAAGAAGUGGUAAAAGUACACUUCUUUAUAUGUAGAGAAAAGAUUAAAAACAUUUGUUUUUCGAGCUGUUCAUAAUAUUAUUAUGGAAACAGUCUUAUUACCUAAAGACAAAAAGACAAAUGAUUUCUUAAUCUGGAACCACACUUGCAUGAGCAAAUGAAGGUUCAUGUACAGUUGUUGAAAGUUACAUUCUUGCUGUAUUUUGAGAAGUAUGGAAAAAGAAUUGUUUGAUAGGUAAAAUAUUAUUAUGGAAACAGUCUAUUACCUAAAGACAAAAAGACAAAUGAUUCCUAAAUCUGGAACCACACUUGCAUGAGCAAAUGAAGGUUCAUGUACAGUUGUUGAAAGUUACAUUCUUGCUGUAUUUUGAGAAGUAUGGAAAAAGAAUUGUUUGAUAGGUAAAAUACUGUUCUGUGUUUCAGUCAUAUUUGCUGAAUUUGCUGACCAUUGUUGAAGUUGUGGAUUUUCCCUGGGAAAGAAUGAAGAAUGUUUUCAAGAAGAGACUGUAUUCAUUUGUAGUGUUUGAAGUGACGAAAGAAUUACAAAUUGGUACUUACUAGAAUUUUUUUUUUGUGGAGUUGGGAAUCACUGUCCUGUCUAUUCCUGUUCCUCCCCAUUCUGUCUUGUCCCAUCCCGACCUGGCCCAUCCAUUCCUGAUUGAUAAUCCAGAAGUCUUUGUAAAUAGAACAUGUUGCAUAUUUGAAUGGAUUUGUAUACUGAAAAAAAACCAAAGACAAAUAUCAAACAGGGAAUGCCACGCACCAAAAAGUAGUGUUUUAGAAUAUGGCCACAAAAUAUGCUGAAAAAAAGACAGUGUAUAAAAAAUAUUAAUACCAAAUAUGUUAGUGUGAAAAUGUAUUUUAUUUAUGCUAUGGAUACUUAGUUUAGUUUAUUAUUGUAUAAAAAUAAAGUGUGUUUCAGGAAAGUAUAAUUUAUAAGUCUAUACGAUUUUUGUCAAACAUAUGGAUACAGUUAUACAGUAUUAUACAGGAUAUAAGAUAGAAUAAAUAUUAAACCAGGAAUGAUAUUUGUAGCAGUAUGUAACGGAAAAACUUGGUCUGUUGGGUUUAUAAACAUCGAAUGUAACAACAUGACAAGUCUCUUACAUUAUACUGUUUCUAGAGACAGAAGACAAAAGAUGUUGAAUGUGACAGCUGGAAAUGUAAGAGUAGGCUACAAGACUGAUUUCCAAACCAAAUGAUAGGCACUGCAGAAACACCCAUGGAUGAAGAAUCAGACUGGUUAAUCGGCGGAUGGUGAAAAUUGUCACAUGCUGCAAGAAAGAGAGAUAAAACCCCUCACACCACCAGCACCAACUCGGACAGAUGGUAUCUCAACAUAUAGUAGAUUCACGGUGAUACAUCGUAGAGCAGAUAUAGCUGGUCAACUUGUACAAGAAUGUUGAGACAUCGAUAGUUGGUUUCCUGUGAAGAAGAAUGUAUAAUGUAACACCUGCAGCUAGAGUAUUCGGAGAAAGGAAUCAGCUCAAAGAACAUUGGAGGGGUCUGAUGACAAUAUUGAUACAGGUUACGAAGGUGAUCUACAACAUGAUUCUACAACUGCCAAUGAACUUCAGUAGAAGAGCUGGAGGGGAAUGGAGUGAGCAGAUUGCAGUACAGUCAAACCUGUCUAUAAAGACCACCCUUGGGAGAGUCAAAAUGUGGUCUUUAUUGGGAGGUGGUCAUUAUUCACAGGUUAAAAAUACACUGUUAAUGUUAAAAUGGGAAACAAAACAUGUGUUCUUUAGAGCCAGGUGGUCUCUGUUCAGAGGUGGUCUUUAAGACAGGUUUGACUGUAUACACAUCAGUGGAAGUGGAACAGGCAGAUUUCAAUAUAUACAACAUCAGUGGGAAAAGCGCAAUGAAGUUCAGCUGUUUCCAGCUUGAAACACAUGAGGUUGAAGUUGCAAGUAGAGACUGACAAUGACUGGACAGACAAUGAUAAUGGUGAAGAGCUACUUUGGAAAACUUUUAAUAAUGGCCAUUAACUUGCAGUCAUUGAUUCCAGUAUUCCAGUCAGUGUAUUCCUCUCCACACAAGAAGCAAUACCAGGAAAUAUGUGGCAUUCAUCAGCCAGGUAGUCAUUUACCCGAAGUGGCAAAGUUAGAGACAGCCUGACACCGAAAUACCCAUUCUUGGAAAAGGAGCAGAAUAUUUUGUGCUGUGGACACUGCAGAAGGGUGAAUGUUCUGUGGACACUGCAGAAGGGUGAAUGUUCUGUGGACACUGCAGAAGGGUGAAUGUUCUGUGGACACUGCAGAAGGGUGAAUGUGCUGUGGACACUGCAGAAGGGUGAAUGUGCUGUGGACACUGCAGAAGGGUGAAUUUGACAGUUUUAACUUCUCACACCUUCUAUAUGAGUAAGGUGUAUGAUACAGUAGGAAAGUUGUCAAGAGUGUUGUUAGCCAUUGGACAUGUGGUACAUACAAUUAGUGGUGGAGAAAUGGACCUGGUCAGACAGUUGGACAAUAAAUGUGUUUGAAACGAUCACCAUGGUGCUUGUCUAAUGGAAAGGGUUAACUUUAAAGCAGGACUUGCUCUGUCAUUCGCGGGGAAAAACACGAAAUGGAGACGAUCACUUACCAGCACAGUUGACUUUAUUAGAAGUCAGGAAUUGGCCAAAAAGGAUGUUGAUACUGAUACAACUUCAUCGUAGCAACUUCAGUCAUACAGAUUUAUCACUAUUGACCUAGAAACCAUUGACCUAAUUCAAUAUGGGAAGAUGCCACAUGUCACACAAAGCCGCAUACCACAACAAAUCGUUGUAGCACAGAUAUCUAUGUCACACCUAAAAAGGAAAUUUCACCAGAGGCACAAAGGAUCACCAGGAU
rnacentral:misc_RNA from 1 species